AUUGAACGCUGGCGGCAUGCCUUACACAUGCAAGUCGAACGGCAGCACGGGUGCUUGCACCUGGUGGCGAGUGGCGAACGGGUGCGUAAUACAUAGGCACAGGUACUGAAGUGGGGGAUGGCCCGGCGAAAGCCGGAUUAAUACCGCAUACGAUUCACGGAUGCAAGCGGGGGCCCUUCGGGCCUCGCGCUUUCGGGUUGGCCGAUGGCGGAUUAGCUAGUUGGUGGGGUAAAGGCAUACCAAGGCGACGAUCAGUAGCUGGUCUGAGAGGACGACCAGCCACACUGGGACUGAGACACGGCCCAGACUCCUACGGGAGGCAGCAGUGGGGAAUAUUGGACAAUGGGCGAAAGCCUGAUCCAGCAAUACCGCGUGUGUGAAGAAGGCCUUCGGGUUGUAAAGCACUUUUGUCCGGAAAGAAAACCUUGACGCUAAUACAGUGGGGUUAUGACGGUACCGGAAGAAUAAGCACCGGCUAACUACGUG
rnacentral:rRNA from 1 species